GACGAACGCUGGCGGCGUGCCUAAUACAUGCAAGUAGAACGCAGUAGCGAACGGGUGAGUAACGCGUAGGUAACUGCCUCAUAGCAGGGGAUAACUAUUGGAAACGAUAGCUAAUACCGCAUACUUUGAGAUGGACCUGCGUUGUAUAAGGUAGUUGGUGAGGUAAAGGCUAACCAGGGCGACGAUACAGAGCCGAGCUGCAAGGUUGACCGGACACACUGGGAUUGAGACACGGCCCAGACUCCUACGGGAGGCAGCGGUGGGUAAUCGUCGGCAAUGGACGGAAGCCUGACCGAGCCACGCCGCGUGAGUGAAGAAGGUCUUCGGAUCGUAAAGCUCUGUUGUUAGAGAAGCGGUACCAAACCAGAAAGGGACGGCUAACUACUUGCCAGCAGCGGCGGUAAUU
rnacentral:rRNA from 1 species